ACUGCUAUUUGGGUGAGGAUAAGCCAUGCGAGUUGGAUGGGAUACCUAAAGUUCCCAUAGCAAACUGCUUAGUAACACAUGAUCAACUUGCCCUAUGGAGAAAACUAACCUCGGGAAACUGAGGAUAAUGUUUCAUAGUUGAACAGGCUUGGAAAAGUUUUUCAAUGAAAGGAAUAAGAUAAAUGGUUCUUAUUUGCCAUAGGAUAGGAUCGUGGUCGAUUAUGGUAGUUGGUGAGAUAACGGCUCACCAAGCCGAUAAUCGAUAGGGGCCGUGAGAGCGGGAGCCCCAAGAUGGGUACUGAGACAGCGACCCAGGCCUUACGAGGCGCAGCAGGCGCGAGACCUCCGCAAUACACGAAAGUGUGACGGGGUUACCCAAAGUGUUCUCUUAAGAACUGUGGCAGGUGAGUAAUGUCCCCUGCUAGAAAGGAGAGGGCAAGGCUGGUGCCAGCCGCCGCGGUAAACCAGCUCUUCAAGUGGUCGGGAUAAUUAUUGGGCUUAAAGUGUCCGUAGCCGGUUUAGUAAGUUCCUGGUAAAAUCGGGUAGCUUAACUAUCUGCAUGCUAGGAAUACUGCUAUACUAGAGGGCGGGAGAGGUCUGAGGUACUACAGGGGUAGGGGUGGAAUCUUAUAAUCCUUGUAGGACCACCAGUGGCGAAGGCGUCAGACUGGAACGCGCCUGACGGUGAGGGACGAAAGCCAGGGGAGCGAACCGGAUUAGAUACCCGGGUAGUCCUGGCCGUAAACGAUGCAUACUAGGUGAUGGUACGGCCAUGAGCCGUAUCAGUGCCGUAGGGAAACCGUUAAGUGUGCCGCCUGGGAAGUACGGUCGCAAGGCUAAAACUUAAAGGAAUUGGCGGGGGAGCACCACAAGGGGUGAAGCCUGCGGUUCAAUUGGACGCAACGCCGGGAAACUUACCAGGGGAGACAGCAGAAUGAGGGUCAGGUUGACGACCUUACCUGAUGAGCUGAGAGGAGGUGCAUGGCCGUCGCCAGUUCGUGCUGUGAGGUAUCCUGUUAAGUCAGGCAACGAACGAGAUCCGCACCUUUAUUUGCCAACAAGAAGUUACGACUUCGUUGGGAACACUAAAGGGACCGCCGUCGAUAAGACGGAGGAAGGAGCGGGCAAGGCAGGUCAGUAUGCCCCGAAACCCCUGGGCUACACGCGGGCUGCAAUGGUAUGAACAAUGGGCUGUAACUCCGAAAGGAGAAACCAAUCCCGAAAUCAUAUCACAGUGGGGAUUGUUGGCUGUAACCCGCCGACAUGAACGUGGAAUCCCUAGUAAUCGUGUGUCAUCAUCGCACGGUGAAUACGUCUCUGCUCCUUGCACACACCGCCCGUCGCUCCG
rnacentral:rRNA from 1 species